GCGGCAGUGGCGAAAUUUGGUAUACGUUUUAUCUUGAGGUGGUAAUAUACAUUAUGUAUUUGAGGGUUCAAAUCCCUCCUUCCGCA
rnacentral:tRNA from 1 species